AUCCAGUUGACGAGUCCUAAAUAGAACGAAAUGUGCAUUGUGGAU
rnacentral:hammerhead_ribozyme from 1 species